AGACCCCAGUUUCAGUUUAUCUUGUGUGAGCAGUUUCAGUUGGCUUUUUUUAUUAUUACUACUACGUAUUAAGGAGAAGAGUGUGUGCGCAGUGCGCUUUGACUUUGUCUCUCUUCUUUCCCACAAAUGAUUGUAUAGGGAAAACCCUAGCCGCCGCCGCCAAGACCUCGCCCCGGCUGAGCACUCCACCCCCGCCGCCGCCGGAGGAAGCCGUCUCACGGCCGACGGCGCCGCCGUGCUGCAGCGGCCUCGCUGGCUUCGGCGCCGACGCGCGCCACUGACCUCCUGCACCGCCUCGUCCCCAGGGGAGACCGGCCUGCUUCCUGGCCCUCGCGCGCUGCUGAGGGGCUCAUGCCCCGCCUCGACCCCGUGGAGGAGCGGCACGGCCCCCUGGCCUGGACCUCGCGCCGCGGCUUCACUGACCCGACCUCGACCUCAACCGCCUGUUGACGGCGCCGCCGUUCUGACACUCAGUUUGUCAUCUAGUAUUUCUUCUUUAAUUCAAAAUUGAGCUUGCUGCAUACUCAGUUUGUCAUCUAUUUCUUCUUUGGUCUUCCUCAUCUUUCUUGCAUAGAAAUUGCACAACAUGAAAUGCAUGUUCCUGCAGGCCAUGAAAUGCUAUAUUUCUUCUUGUGCAGAAUAUAAGAAACAUUUAUUUCAGGCUGACAUGUUUAUGUUCUCUCCAAAUGCAGAGAUGAAUAAGAAGCUCAGAAACAUGUGCACAGAUGUGCGGAAUCUGGUGCCGGUGGGUGCAGUGAUGGCCAAGGCAGUUCCAGCAAGGAUGGAGGAAAUGUUGAGAAAGACGCGGCAUCAGACGAUGAAUGGCUGGUUGUUGACCGACUGUUGGCACCGUGCCGAGAUGGCCAGUGUCGAGUACUUCAACCUCAUGUACCUUACAUGUGUAUUCUGCUGGCAGGAUAUGGAAAACCAUGAGGGAUGCAUGGGACAGAUUGAUCUCGACCAUACAUCGGUGGGCAAUUCUAUGCAAGACUGCUCUGGAAGUCACCUUGCAGCAAUACAUCCGGGAUAUGGAGCACAAGCGGGAGGAACUCCUUCAGAUAGCCUGGCACUAGUUCCCUCAGGAGGCGAGUGGAUGAUGGCCGAGCUACAACGCCAACUGCUCCUAACUAACUGGUUUUUCCCUCCAGUCGCCUUCUCCAACCCAGUCCAAGCCGGCAGCGGGUCCAAGUGUAAGGCGACCUAAUGAAGAGAAAGAAACUUGGCCUCGGCUGAGCUUUAUAGUCCACGUUUUGGUUUGUUGUUCCUGGCUUAUUAAGGCAGUAAACUUGGUUUGAGAAAAGAGAGGUAGCGGGCUUUGUCCCCUGGACUGUAAUAAGCGUUGGUAGUUUUCAGCUGUUGAUGACAAAAUAUCUGUGCAAGACAUGCGGCAGUCUCAAGACAGAACGGAGUUGUUUCAUAUGGCCCUAUCCGCACGAGCUUAUGAGGAAUUCCUUGUUAUUUCUUCCUGGCUUGAUGGAUUGAGUUGAACACAUCUAAGAGGGAUGAAUGGAAAUGUGUGUGGCAUAAUGGAGAGUAUUUCACUUCCAAGUACUAUGCUUUAGUUCACGAGCCAUUGGUUGUAUGUCUGAAUACAAGAGAUCUAUUGAAGAGGAGCUGGAAAGUAACUGAUGAUAACCACUGUGAGUUGUGUCCUGGUAGAGAUUGUGAUGAUCGUCAACAUCUGUUCUUUGAGUGUAAUUUUGGCCAAAGAAUUUAGAACUACCUUCAGAUUAAGUGCGAACCAGGAGAUGAUGUAUUAGAAGUGGCUGCAAAUGCUAGGAGAAGCUUUAGCAAACUUUUUUUUUUCGUUGAAGUGGCUUUUAAAGCUUGUUGGCACGUAUGUAAAUUGAGAAACGGGAAAAUCUUCAGAGAUGAAAGACCCAG